AGUGUGGGUAUUCUUCCCAGUCUGGAGAGGUCAGGGAGUGGCAAACUCAGUGUGCUUGCAUGCACUUUGGAGAGAUAUUAUUUAUGUAUGAGACACCAGUUUAAGUGAGGAUGUUGUUGUCUCCCACUCUGCCCUGGAGUAUUUGCCCAGCAAUUACCAUCUCCUGCUGGUGUUGGCAGGCACAGGAGGAGGAUGGUGGUCUGGGAGAACCUACAAAGAGAGUGUGAAAACUUUUUGGAAUUCCAAGUGAUCUCAUUCCCAGGUUCCUGCAGGAUGUUGGGAAAGUAUGCUGUUUCCUUUCUUUCCCAGGAUUUCAUCAAGCAAGGUGGCCGUGAAGGUAUCACUUUCACUUAUCUCAGUUUAGGAAAGCUCUGAAUUCAUUGAUGAAUUAUGCUUAGAAGGCAUGAUGCACAUGUUGAACUUUUCUCCGGGACAAAUUAGGGACAUCUGAAACGGAAGUGUUUAUUUUCUUACACUUCCAGUGGCCUGGAACAGCAUCUUGGUUUUUUGGAAAGCAGGAGCUAGAGCUCUGGUUGCUAUGACUGCUUGGGUUUUCUUCCUUAUGGCUGCGAUGUCCUUGGAUCGAUACCUGGCCAUUUGCAAGCCUCUGCAUUACCCCACCAUCAUGAGUCUGAGGACUUGCUUCCACCUGGUCACUGCCUGCUUUAUCGUGGGCUUCACUCUCAUCACUGGUCUCAUGGUGAAGGUUUCCCAGUUAUCUUUCUGCAGACCCCAUGUCAUCCCUCACUUCUUCUGUGACCCCGGCCCUCUGAUCCAACUCUCCUGUUCUGACACCAGAUCUACUGAAAUGUUGGCCUUUGGCCUUGUGUCAUUCAUUCUUUUCACAUCCCUCAUUAUAACCAUCAUCGCAUACGGCAACAUAGUAGUCACAAUUGUACGACUUCUGUCAGCCAAGGAGCGGCAGAAAGCUUUCUCCACCUGCUCCUCUCACCUCAUUGUCCUCUCUCUGGUGUAUAGCAGCUGUGUCUUCAUAUAUGUGAAGCCGAAGCAAAUGGACAGGCUGGACUCCAACAGAGAGGCUGCUCUUGUGAACACAGUGGUGACCCUGCUGCUGAACCCGAUCAUUUACACUCUGCGGAACAAGCAGGUCCACCAGGCUCUGAGGGAUGGUUGGUCCAGAGUGAAAUUGUAAAAACAGAAUCACAACCUCCCAGUGAAGGAAUGCACCUUCUCCUUGAUCUAAUCCAAUCUCUCUCCUGUUUCUGGAAUCCUUUAUAAAAAAUUUGCAAAUUGUGGUUUUUUUAGUUUCUGUUUGUUUUUUCUUAGAAUAAGGGCUAAUUUAUCUAAUAAUUCAACCUGAAAGCUCUUAUAUUACCCUAUUUUGAGAUGAAAGUAUCUUCCUGAAUCUUUUUACUAGUUUUAAAUAAAUAGGAUUCAACAAAUUUUAGUGAAGAACCUCAUAUACAUGAGUCUGUUUGAUGCAUGUGGAAUUUCAAAGAUGAAAUGAUGUAGUUUUAAGUAUCUACUUGUGGUAAGUGCAAAGGGAUGAAGAACAAACUUCAUAAGUAUUAAGAGUAUCAAGUUAGUUCAAGGGUAGAUAUAACAUGGUCAUUGUGUGAAGUUUUGAAGGAAACAUAUAUACACAACUGUCAGGAUAUCAAUAUAAUUACUUAAGAUGACUCAGUACGAUUGCUUUCAAUGUUGAAUAUUCUGUAUAUAAAUCUUUACACUUUUUGUUCCCACUAUGAUAAAAACAUAUAACUGUCUCUAGAUGAAUUUGCAAGUCCUUGUUGGUUUCAUUGGUUUGCAAGAUUGAUUUCAGUGCCCACAGACCUGAAAAUGAAGCAGCACAGGGGGAGAAACAUUACAAUUUUUGGAACAAGGAAUUAAAUCGUUAAUAUUUGUUUCCCUACUACAGAAAGUUUAAAGGAAUUGGGAGAAAUAUAAUCAGAGGUGGGAAGAAGUCUGUGACUGUGAAAUCUCUCCAAAUGAAUGUAUGAACAAGUCUCUUCAUUUGUGGAACGAGAGGUUUGGUUGUGUCACCUCGGGAUGUUCAUUUUAGUACUAAUGUGAAGUGACGCUAUUGAUACUGAAUGUGACACAGAAACAUGCUGUAACAGAAAUAUAAUUUGAGAAUGGCAGAGAGAAGAUGAUGAGAUGUUUUAAUGGAAGGACUUAUGCUACAACUGAAAUUUAGUUAUUCACGAUUUUGAUAGGAAAUGAAUUAGAGACAAAACCUUGGAGCUAGGAUUUGUUUUGUGUACUUGGUUAAUGGCAAUGAUCAUGUUUUGUUUUGACCACAUAUUUCUGUGAUUGUGGUGGAACAGGAAUCAAAAGAAAUUAAAGAAUGUGUAAGCAGAAACUCAGUUGUAUGUAAGAAAGCCCAAUUCCCCCUGAGAAAGAGAAAGAGCUGGAUUCCUUUAAAAAUUAACUGCCUGUUUUAGUGUGGCUAGUAAGCCUUAUCUCUCCUCCUUUCCCAGGCAUUGUGAAGACCCUGUUUCUCUAGCUGUACAGCUGCAAGGUCACUAGACAGAUAAACUCAAGCCAUAAAACAUGCUUUUCCUUGGAAAGUAAGAAAUGUUGUAACACAUGUCUCAAUUAAUUAAAUAACUCUCUUUGUUUCUUGCUUCCGUAAUAUAUUUCCCCUGCACAGGUCUCCCCCCACCUCACGAAACGCUUAAAAGAUAACUUAACUGUUUGUUCAGGGCUCAGUCCCUUGGAUGUUAAUCUGACUGUGCUGGCACACCUAAAUAAUAAAUAUCCUCCUCAACCCCAUCGGUCUCUCUGAUUCCUUAUCAAUCCCACUACAGUGGGGAUAAUAAAAGACUAUGAUGGGAAAGUUUGAGGGACAUAAUUAUGUAAGAAUUAGGAAAACACACUUCAGUCAACUAGCAGAACCCAAAUUUUUGUUCACCCUAUGUGUAUAUAAGGAUUUUCAUACAACUUUGUGUAGACUUGUUUCUUUUUCUCACAUUUGCAGUGUUCACAUUGCUAAAGGAACUGACAGAGCAAUACCAAUGAACUGAGUGGUCAUUGCUUUUUUUGCCUUUUACAUUUUUAAACAUUGGUAGUCUGACAUAGUGAAUCAUAUUUGAUUAUCUACUUUGAAAUAAAUGGAAAAUGUAUACAAUGUUUUCACUUACUUUUAUCUACACAUAGAAAGUUACAUAGCUUAAAAAUAAUUGCAUUGUUUGUGAUUAACCCAAUUUGUUUACUACAAUUUAGUAUACUAAAGAUAUUCCACAAUUUUUAAUUCAUUUAUUUGUUGAUGCACGUUUGAGCUAUUUCUGCCUUUUGGCUAUUGUGAAUAGUACUGUUAUGAACAUGUGUGUACAUUUAUUUGUUUGAGUACUUGUUUUCAAGUCUUUGGGGGUAUAUACCUCGGAGAUAAAUUGUGAGGGUAGGGGAACAGGCAGCAAUAGCUUAAUGGGUAUGGAGAUUCCUUUGGAGAUGAUAUUAUAAAAAUGUUUUGGAACUAGAUAGAGGUGGUGGUUGCAUAACAUUUUGAACGUACUGCAUGCCGCUGAAUUGUUCACUUUUAAAUGAUUAAUUUUAUAUGUACAUUUACCUUAAUAAAAAAUUCCAUAGUUCUGAAAGUUUUA
rnacentral:sRNA from 1 species